rnacentral:tRNA from 1 species
GGAGAGAUGGCUGAGUGGUCGAAAGCGGCUUCCUGCUAAGAAGUUAUCUGGGCUUAAACCUGGAUCCAGGGUUCGAAUCCCUGUCUCUCCGCCA